ACAUGGAAGAUGGGUGCACCAGAAGCGCCCGGGUUUUUGUUCUUGAGGUUUCUCGAGAAUAGAAUCCGGGCACCAAGGUGAAACCAUUGACUGGGUCG
rnacentral:rRNA from 1 species